CAAUAACAGGUCUGUGAUGCCCUUAGAUGUUCUGGCCGCACGCGCGCUACACUGAUGCGAUCAACGAGCCUAGCCUUGGCCGAGAGGUCCGGGUAAACUUGCAAACCGCAUCGUGAUGGGGAUAGAUUAUUGCAAUUAUUAAUCUUCAACGAGGAAUGCCUAGUAAGCGCGAGUCAUCAGCUCGCGUUGAUUACGUCCCUGCCCUUUGUACACACCGCCCGUCGCUCCUACCGAUUGGGUGUGCUGGUGAAGCGUUCGGAUUGGUAGCUCCAAGCGGUUCGCCGCCGGGGGCAACCGAGAAGUUCGUUAAACCCUCCCACCUAGAGGAAGGAGAAGUCGUAACAAGGUUUCCGUAGGUGAACCUGCGGAAGGAUC
rnacentral:rRNA from 1 species